UACGGAGGAUGCGAGCGUUAUCCGGAUUUAUUGGGUUUAAAGGGUGCGCAGGCGGAUUUUUAAGUCAGCGGUCAAAUCGUGGGGCUCAACCCCAUCCAGCCGUUGAAACCGGAGCGCUAGAAUUCCGAUGCCGUCGGAGGAAUGUGUGGUGUAGCGGUGAAAUGCAUAGAUAUCGCGCAGAACUCCGAUUGCGAAGGCAGCGUACCGGCGCCACACUGACGCUGAGGCACGAAAGCGUGGGGAUCGAACAGG
rnacentral:rRNA from 1 species